GGGUUGCUGUUGUUUCGCCCAGCUCUCUGCAGCGGAGCCCCAGGCAGUAACUUUCACCCGGACUCAGGUAGAAGGCCCUGAGGGUUGUGGUUCGGAGGACUCUGCUCUCUGAGCCCGGCCGGGCUGCGGCUUCUGGGAGCCUUGGACUCUGCGCUCCUACCCCUGAGGUCCGAGUGAUCUCGGGUUCUGGCUUUUGAGGGGAGCCGUACCUUUUGAACCGGGUCCAGGUCCAGGAGGAGGGUUCCCAGGGUCUGUGCUGUUGAUCGUUUUGAAUUUCGGCGCCUUAGGAGCUUAUAUUUUGAGAUCAGUCGGGAAGGGUUUUCCGGAGAUCUGAGCUUUAGCUUUCUCUAAGCCGCCAUCUUAACCGGAAGUCCUGACCAGUAAAUUUUUUGUAGUUUUAUGCAGAAUUCCAAAGGAAACUGAAAUCUAAAUGCCUUUUCUUCUUGAUUCCAUGCCCUCUGGAAGAAUCCACAAUCAUUCACCACUAUGUGGCCCAGUGGAUAGAUAGGGUGCCGGAGUCAGGGUCAGGAAGACCCAAGUUCAAAUUCUGUCUCAGACACUACAUCAGCUGCAUGACUCCAGAUUUGUUUAACAGAUCCACCGAAGAACUAUCAAAAGGAGAGCAACCAACACUGGGAAGGGCUUUGAGUAAAUCCAAGCCAUAUAAAGGUCAGUUGAAAGUUGCAUUUAGGUUGGAGAAAAAGGGUCUCAGGAGGACCUGACAUCUGUCUUUAAAUAUCUGAAGGACUGUUUUGGGAAAGAAAGAUAGUGAAACAUUUUCAUAAGGCUUUUUUCCA
ensembl:lncRNA